AGAGUUUGAUCAUGGCUCAGGACGAACGCUGGCGGCGUGCCUAAUACAUGCAAGUCGAGCGAGGUUUGAACAAGUCUUCGGAUUUGUUUGAAUCUAGCGGCGGACGGGUGAGUAACACGUGGGCAACCUGCCCAUAAGCUCGGGAUAACUGUCGGAAACGGCGGCUAAUACCGGAUAGAUGGUUUCCUCGCAUGGGGGAA
rnacentral:rRNA from 1 species